AAUAAGUUUAUUUUUUGGUUUUUAUAUAAUAUUUUGAUUCGUCUUAUUUGAUUUUUUUACGAUUAAUAUUUUUAUUAUUACUAGAUGAUAAAAUAUAAAUAAUAUUUUAUACGUGAUUAAUUUUUUUAAGUUUUUUAAUAAAUUUUUCAAAUAAGACGAAUGGUCAAACGUUGGACACGGAAAAACGAAAAUGAGGUUAUU
rnacentral:pre_miRNA from 1 species